rnacentral:rRNA from 1 species
GACGAACCGUGCGAACGUUAUUCGGAAUCACUGGGCUUAAAGCGCGUGUAGGCGGGGCGGCACGUCGGUCGCUGAAAGCCCCCGGCUCAACCGGGGAACGGGCGCCGAUACGACCGCCCUGGAGGGACGUAGGGGGGCCUGGAACUUCCGGUGGAGCGGUGAAAUGCGUUGAGAUCCGGAGGAACACCGACGGCGUAGGCAGCGCCCUGGCUGUGAAUAAAGCUGACACUGAGGCACGAAAGCUGGGGGAGCAAACAGG